UUUAGGCUGGGUUUCUGUACAGCACUUUGAGAUAUCAGCUGAUGUACGAAGGGCUAUAUAAAUACAUUUGAUUUGAUUUGAUUUGAAAAGGCAUUGUCGUGCCAACAUUAUUCACAUUUUCUUAUUUAUUAAACAUUUGAUUUCAAUAGUUUUCUCUUCCCAAAACUAAAAUAUGUUAUGAACAGAGUGGACUAAGGCACUGCAUCUCAGUUUCAAGCUGUGCCACUAGAGAUGAUUUAAUCUAAUUUCACUGCAAUUGGUUAGUCAACAUGCAAUAAUACCUGUAUACUGUCAAUAUCACUGAGAUUCAUUAUUUGUGUUUAGAUGACCAAAAUCAGAUUAACUAAGCCUACCCUUCCUCUUUUCCCUCCCUUUUCAGUGAUGUGAACUACAAAAAAAUGCAAACCAAUACUUCAGAUCUUGCCUGGAUUCCUGCCUCUUUCAAAGUUAUAAGUAGGAACAAUGGCUACAUGUCUGGCACUGUGAAAUCUGAGGAAGAAUUGGGGUUCUUGCUAGAAAACCACAAAAGAGCCACUUACACUUCAUUCAAUACAUGGUCUGAACAUAAAAAGGAUCAAAUCAAAAGAAGGCUACUUUGGCAAGUGGAGGAUUAUGCAGACGAUGUCCCCGUUUGUGUUGGAAAAAUAGCUAUCCUUGCAUGGCAAAGCAUCGAAAAGACCUACAGCUGAGGAACAGCCUUCAGAACAUGUAUAUAGCAAGAAAAGAUUAUGUGUAGAGGGGCAAAAAAGUGGACUGUCCAGCAAAGCUUUUCAUUCGGCUUGUAACUAGGUAUGACACAUUUAGUGUCAAAGGGGAUGCUUCAAGGGCAAAAAAACAAGAAGCAAUGAAAAGGCUGAAGGAGGCAUUGACUCUGACAAGCCCAGCUACAUCAUGUCAAGUUCUCAAUCGCUGAAGCACAACAAAAUCACACUGUCAAUGAAGCAAGUUGCUUUAAAAGGAAGAUGCAUCCACAAGAAAACAUGGGGCAGGACAGAGACUCCAGACAGCAGGAGGAAAACAUGGGGCAGGACAGAGUCAGGGAAAACCACAUCCCAGCUGAAGAGUGUGCGUUAAGAGUUGAAUUAAACAAAAUAAUGGAUGCUACUUAUCUAUGUCAAGACAUUGAGAUCUUACAAAAGACAAAGGAAGCUGUGGCAGACAUUCGAAAAUCCUUCAUUGGCUCCUGUCCAAAAGGGAAUGGUCUUCCGUUGCUGAGCAAAGAGAACCAAUUGAUGAGAGAAAACAACAAAAUGCUUCGAUCUCUCCCACCAAAAGUGAGAAAAGGAAAACUUAAGGGACCGUUUGAAAUUUACUGGGGUGGGGCGGGAUGUCCAAAAUAGGGGAGUGAUGUCUAACUGUUUUGGGGCUUUGGGGAGGGUUGUGUGCAGGUGCACACAUUUUAGAAACAAGUCAAUUUGACCCCUCAAUAAUAUACCAUGAGUACGAUUGAUUGGGAGAAAAAAUCCCCACUGUAAAGCGCCAGGCAGCUACUAGCUUUGUGACACAGAUAGAACAAUGAGACAGAUGUUUUACCGGAUGUAUAAAUCUGAAGCUUCAGGUUAUCAUUUCCACUUAAUCUCAUUACCGUAUUUGGUGGUAAGCCUAGUGGCCUGCAGUGAGAUUUUGGCUGACAUUCUGCAAAUUUUCUCAUUGAUGAAACAUUUGAUCUCAAUACAGUUUUCUGUUCCCAAAACUAGAAUCUGUUGACUAAGUUUUGUAGACUUUCCCUUUUCUCAAAAUUUCUAAAAAUGGUGUUGUUUAGGAGUGCAAGGGCGAUAUGAGUUAUUGUAUAAGCACACUUCACAGAAGUGGAAACCACAGGAUGUGGUCUAUCAAAGGUUUACAGUAGAAACAUCUUUGACAGUGCUACUCAGUUACUCAUUUUUAUGAUGUGGUUGACACUGGAAUACAUUUACCCUGACCCCCCCCCACUCCCAACAUGCAACACAAAGUUACGCCCUUGGUUGUUUUUUUACUGGCCACAGGGGAUGGUAGUUUUUCCUCCCUGGUUUACAUUUGCUUUUUUUGAAGGUUUUACUAUGUCAUAUCUUCCAUCCUAGCCAAGUUUCCUCAUCUGCUUGCAUGCACCUACCUUUAUCAGGUAGGUUUUGUUACUUCCCUUAUGCACUUUUCUGCACACUUACUAUACCACAGGUCAAUAUAGUCUACCAGUCUGUCUAUCCUGACCUAUCCACCAUUCAUAGUGACAAUAGUAGUAGGUGGACUGUUUGUCCAGAUCUACAAUAGGCUAACUAGUAAUCAUACCACACAAAAUCAUUCAAAGCGGCACCAAUUUUCAAUAUAAAUCCACAAGACCAUAGAGGAAUAGCUGAUAAGCAGCGGAGAGUCAGGUGCACAUGAAAGAACAGUGAAGACAUGAGACAUGCUGCUCAAAAAUCUCCCCUAUUGAUCCUGUUUAGGGAAAAUACAAUUAUCCUUACUGGGACUCCCUAAAAACAUUGCAUUUCGCCCAAAGUGGUUUUCGUAGCAGGUUAGGAAAGCAUUUAGGCUAACCCUAUCCCUUUUACUUAACUCUAAUUCUCCUAACGUGCUACCUUAAUUAUCCUAUCCUGCCUAGACUAGCCUGCAAUACCACAAUGCAAUGAAUAAUUGCAUCAUUGUUUUCUACUGAGUACAAAAUUCUACUCUAAGCUGUAAACUGCAGUGAAAAUGUCAUUUGAGUAAACGGCGCAAAAGUCCUGUGAUGUUUCAUUCCAUUAAUUCCAUUUGGAUCAGUUUUGGGUCUACUCUCGACAGUUUAUAAGUAUUUAUUGUUAGGAACCCCAAUAGCGAUGGAACCCUGACCUGCCAAGGCAGCAGCAGCUUUUCCUGGGGUCCAAACAGGAUUAAAACACUUAAUCAUAAUAAAACAAUACAUUACAUUA